rnacentral:rRNA from 1 species
UGAGGAAUAUUGGGCAAUGCCCGCAAGGGUGACCCAGCAACGCCGCGUGGAGGAUGAAUGUCGUAAGAUUGUAAACUCCUGUUAGAGGGGAAGAAUAGUACCGGUUGGACCGGUAUAUGACUGUACCCUCAGAGAAAGCCCCGGCUAACUACGUGCCAGCAGCCGCGGUAAUACGUAGGGGGCAAGCGUUGUCCGGAUUUACUGGGUGUAAAGGGCGCGCAGGCGGGAUAAAAAGUCAGUGGUGAAAUCCUACAGCUUAACUGUAGAACUGCCUUUGAUACUUUUACUCUUGAGUUCGGGAGAGAGAGACGGAAUUCCAGGUGUAGUGGUGAAAUACGUAGAUAUCUGGAAGAACACCAGUUGCGAAGGCGGUCUCUUGGUCCGACACUGACGCUGAGGCGCGAAAGCGUGGGGAGCAAACA